ensembl:lncRNA
AGAGAGAGAGAACAACAGGAGGACAGUAGAGAGAGAGAGAGAACAGGAGGACAGUAGAGAGAGAGAGAGAACAACAGGAGGACAGUAGAGAGAGAGAGAGAACAACAGGAGGACAGUAGAGGGAGAGAGAACAACAGGAGGACAGUAGAGAGAGAGAGAACAACAGGAGGACAGUAGAGAGAGAGAGGACAAGAACAACAGGAGGACAGUAGAGAGAGAGAGAGAACAACAGGAAGACAGUAGAGAGAGAACAACAGGAGGACAGUAGAGAGAGAGAGAGAGAACAACAGGAGGACAGUAGAGAGAGAGAGAGAACAACAGGAGGACAGUAGAGAGAGAGAACAACAGGAGGACAGUAGAGAGAGAGAGAACAACAGGAAGACAGUAGAGAGAGAGAGAGAACAACAGGAGGACAGUAGAGAGAGAGAGAGAACAACAGGAGGACAGUAGAGAGAGAGAGAGAACAACAGGAGGACAA